rnacentral:rRNA from 1 species
UGGGGAAUAUUGCACAAUGGGCGCAAGCCUGAUGCAGCCAUGCCGCGUGUGUGAAGAAGGCCUUCGGGUUGUAAAGCACUUUCAGCGGGGAGGAAGGCGUUAAGGUUAAUAACCUUGGCGAUUGACGUUACCCGCAGAAGAAGCACCGGCUAACUCCGUGCCAGCAGCCGCGGUAAUACGGAGGGUGCAAGCGUUAAUCGGAAUUACUGGGCGUAAAGCGCACGCAGGCGGUCUGUCAAGUCGGAUGUGAAAUCCCCGGGCUCAACCUGGGAACUGCAUUCGAAACUGGCAGGCUAGAGUCUUGUAGAGGGGGGUAGAAUUCCAGGUGUAGCGGUGACAUGCGUAGAGAUCUGGAGGAAUACCGGUGGCGAAGGCGGCCCCCUGGACAAAGACUGACGCUCAGGUGCGAAAGCGUGGGGAGCAAACAGG